GAUGAACGCUGGCGGCGUGCCUAAUACAUGCAAGUCGAGCGAACGGACGAGAAGCUUGCUUCUCUGAUGUUAGCGGCGGACGGGUGAGUAACACGUGGAUAACCUACCUAUAAGACUGGGAUAACUUCGGGAAACCGGAGCUAAUACCGGAUAAUAUUUUGAACCGCAUGGUUCAAAAGUGAAAGACGGUCUUGCUGUCACUUAUAGAUGCAUCCGCGCUGCAUUAGCUAGUUGGUAAGGUAACGGCUUACCAAGGCAACGAUGCAUAGCCGACCUGAGAGGGUGAUCGGCCACACUGGAACUGAGACACGGUCCAGACUCCUACGGGAGGCAGCAGUAGGGAAUCUUCCGCAGUGGGCGAAAGCCUGACGGAGCAACGCCGCGUGAGUGAUGAAGGUCUUCGGAUCGUAAAACUCUGUUAUUAGGGAAGAACAUAUGUGUAAGUAACUGUGCACAUCUUGACGGUACCUAAUCAGAAAGCCACGGCUAACUACGUG
rnacentral:rRNA from 1 species